rnacentral:misc_RNA from 1 species
AAAAUGCGAUAGUUCAGAUGAACUGCAAUUUCUGUGAAUCAUGAUACUUUGAAUGUAACUUACGCUUUUGAUACUUGUGUCAAAAGUUAUUUUGUUGGAGGGAAAUAAAUUUAUUUAAGAAUCCUUUUAAUAUAAUAAAAGAUCCUUAUUUAAAUCAAUCAAAUCAAAAGUAAAAAUACUCUCUUUUGAUUAUACAAAGAGUGGUUUUUGAUUAAAGAGUUUAAACAAACUCUUUCUUCUAGAAUCUAAAUUUACUUGAAGUUCGAACUAGUAAUCCGAUUAGACUUUGAAUUAACAAGUCUUCUCCAAGAUUCAUUGAAUUUCUAUCUACCAUUUUUAACCUCCAAUCAAAAUAGAUUACUCGGUGAAUUUAA